rnacentral:misc_RNA from 1 species
UUUAAUCCCUAAUAAAAUAAAGUUGACCAAGCUACAAAUAUUUUCUUUCCUGUCUUAACAGCUAAAAAUAAAAGAGGUAAAGCUAGGCUUGAACUGGCCGACUUAUGAUUUGAAUGAAUGUCAGAUCCUGCAUGCAAAAAUCCUAGAUAUCUUGCAACACCUCAACUUUUGCAAUCAUUUUCUGAGUGACAAUUUCUGAAAAACAUGCAAAUUAUUGUCUAGAAUUGUAAUGGGAGAAUUAUUUUGAGAAAAUUUUGGGAAAAGAAAAACUGCGGAUAAUUGUGACACUCGGUACAAACUGUAGAGAAGUUAGGUUAAGCACACCUGACUCAUAGAGUUGAAAAUAUUUGUCGAGGUAUGUGUCAGUGAAGUCCUGAGUGUCUCAUUUCUAAGCAACAUCAUGCUGACCAUAAAUGUUCUAUGUCAGGCCUCAACAAAUAUUUUCAGAUCUAGGAGCCAGGUGUGCCUAACCUAACUUCACUGACACAUACCUGCAACACAUUUAUAUGUGUAUUGCCAUAGAGAACUUUUUGUUCUCAUUUUUACUCUGAAGCAGAAAAACGGCAAUAUGGUACAGUAGUCACAUGUAUGCUGUGAAGAUCACAAAUACUGGUUAGUGAAUAGUAUGUCUGCAUACACCAGAAUUGUCAUACAUAGGUAAAGAAGAUUAAGUGUGCGGGUUAAUUUUCCACAUGUGAAAAAUCUGUAAUCUGAAGAUUAUGAUGGAAUGAACAUCGGUAAAUAUUGUUUAAAUUGUUCAUGUUCAUCUAAUGUAUUAAUUAAGCAUGAUUUCUGCUAGAAAAAAGCAGAGAGCAACAAUAUUAAUUUAUUCUUUUUUUUUUACUCUAAAACAUUUUUUUUUGAAUUAUUUACCUGUGUUAUAGAAGUGUUGGUUGUACAAAUCCAUAGGUGGCAAUGUUGUGUGGUUAACAUUGGACUAAGUUAAAAGUCCAGUAAUGAUAAGGCAAUGAAUCACCAUUCCUGUUUAGGAGUUACUGUACUUUGAGUAUUUUGACACCAUCAAUAUCAAAUAAGGUUUUGAAACACAGUUCCCAGAACUUUCCCUGCUUUGAAAACACAGUAAGGUAAGUUUUAUCAUCUUGUUGACAGUAUAAUGGUUACAACAAGAAUUGUCUAAAGUAUUAUAAAAUGCUUAUGUUACAGCUUUGUAGAAAGUCUGGGCCAACCCAUUAAACUUGUUAGCUAUUUGAAUGUUAGUCAGUAAGCUCUGAAAAUACAGUGGGGUAGGAUUUACCGGCUUGUUUACACAGUACAAUAGUUGCAACAAGAAUUGUCUAAAGAACUAUAUAAAAGUGAGAGAAAAUAUUUAUGAUACGGCCCUGUACAUAGGUGUAUCCGAUCCAAUAAACUUGGACGGUUGGGAUUUAGUGGUAAUAUAGGUGUGAAAGUGCUUAUGAACAUCCUGUUUCCUAUUUUACCAUGCUUAGACAGUAAUCAAUAAAUGAAUUGUUUCUACUAUUUUCUAAGGUACAUAUAUAUUAAUAUUAUAUAAAUAUAAAUAUUUUACUUUCAGUUAUUUUUCUUGAAACAUAUAACAGUAAAUAAAAAAAUAUUCACAAAACAAUGAUCUCUAGUAGUUGCAUUGUUUUGACAUUCUUUUUUGCACUCAUGAGUUGUACUUGCUAACUCUCAUUGUAAGCCUUGUCCAAAUUCAGAUGUCCAUGUUGAAAAAAAUUAUUAUUUUCUUACUUUAUAUAUGCAUUUUUGAAUAUAAAAAAAUUAUAAUUGAUUAUACCAAUACAACAAAAACUAUUGUAAUUUACCAGGCUUGCUAACUAUGCAGUAUUUGGGUCUAAACAUUUUUUUUCUGUUUUGAAUAUAGCAUUGGUCAUAAUACUUCAAACUCUCCAACAAUAAAAGAGCUUUUUUCUUUUAAAUAACUUACAAAGACUAACAGAAUUAUAUAGAGGAAAUAUAGAGCUUGUGAUUGGUUAUUAACCUGUGAGUAUAAAAAAAGCAGGUGUGUAAAUAAACAAGUCUUCUCAAAUGAUGAAGUGGUGGGCAGAGCCAAUAUGGUGGAUUCAAUAAAUAUUAUGAUAUCUAAGCCGAUAGAAAAGGUUAAAACAGAAAAGCUAUAUCAAGUAGUUAGGAUCUUUCUCUUAAGUCUGAAUAGCAGCAGAUAAUUGUAAUGUCAAAAGACAUUGAAAAUUACAAGGCGGUAUUACAGGUUGAAGAUAUGGCAAUUGUUAUUGCAAAUCCCAAAAAAUCAAGCUGUCUUUAAAACAUUAUUAAGUCAAGGUCAUCAUAAAGUAUUUUUAUUACUAGAUCAACAGUAUCCAGUACCAAGUGGUGUCCUUCGUAGAGCUUUCCACAGAACUCUCUCCCUACUUGCCAAUUGGAGCCCUCUACUAGCUGAAGUGACAUUUCUGCCCUAUCUUGUUUUUCCUUUUGUGAAACUCUUUCAUUCAAACCUUCUUGUUUGUUUUGAAGUAGUGGCCACUUUCCUCUGUUUACAUCUGGCCUCUACUUUACACAGUGUUUUCUGAGAUCGUAGAAAAAGAUCAGUGGUUACAAUUAUGGGAUCACAUUUUUUCCAAUCCACCAUGUUUCAUGUUAUACUUGUCUGUAGCUUUGAAUAUUGUAGCGAGGAAGAGGCUAAUUGUCCUUACUCAUUCUGACCAGAUCAAAGAUUUCUUUGAAAAUGAAAACCUGUAUCAGGUGAACACUAUGAUUCAAAAAGCAUAUUAUAUACAGCAGAACACACCACUAGAUUUGACACCAGAGUCUAUUAUUCCAACAGAGUUUCUACCUUUACUAAAAGGAAACUAUUCAAGGAUAUUCAACCCCAAAAGGAGUCUAUCUAUUCAGCAAAUGUCUCGAGACACCAUUCUACCUACUGGAUAUUCUAUACAACUAUAAAGUUUGCAGUGUUUGUAAGUUUCGAUUUGUAUAAAUAAAAUUUGUUUCAUUAUUUGCUACCUCAAACACUUGUUAAU